rnacentral:tRNA from 5 species
CGCGGGGUGGAGCAGCUCGGUAGCUCGCUGGGCUCAUAAUCCAGAGGUCGCAGGUUCGAAUCCUGUCCCCGCUA